rnacentral:rRNA from 1 species
AUUGAACGCUGGCGGAAUGCUUUACACAUGCAAGUCGAACGGUAGAGGGGGCAACCCCUUGAGAGUGGCGAACGGGUGAGUAAUAUAUCGGAACGUGCCCAGUCGUGGGGAUAACGUAGCGAAAGUUACGCUAAUACCGCAUACGAUCUAAGGAUGAAAGCGGGGGAUCGCAAGACCUCGCGCGAUUGGAGCGGCCGAUAUCAGAUUAGGUAGUUGGUGAGGUAAAGGCUCACCAAGCCAACGAUCUGUAGCUGGUCUGAGAGGACGACCAGCCACACUGGAACUGAGACACGGUCCAGACUCCUACGGGAGGCAGCAGUGGGGAAUUUUGGACAAUGGACGCAAGUCUGAUCCAGCCAUUCCGCGUGCAGGAUGAAGGCCCUCGGGUUGUAAACUGCUUUUGUACGGAAUGAAAAGGUUUGUCUUAAUACGAUGAGCUCAUGACGGUACCGUAAGAAUAAGCACCGGCUAACUACGUGCCAGCAG